UGGGGAAUUUUGGACAAUGGGCGCAAGCCUGAUCCAGCCAUGCCGCGUGCGGGAAGAAGGCCUUCGGGUUGUAAACCGCUUUUGUCAGGGAAGAAAUCUUCUGAGUUAAUACCUCGGGAGGAUGACGGUACCUGAAGAAUAAGCACCGGCUAACUACGUGCCAGCAGCCGCGGUAAUACGUAGGGUGCAAGCGUUAAUCGGAAUUACUGGGCGUAAAGCGUGCGCAGGCGGUUUUGUAAGACAGAGGUGAAAUCCCCGGGCUCAACCUGGGAACUGCCUUUGUGACUGCAAGGCUUGAGUGCGGCAGAGGGGGAUGGAAUUCCGCGUGUAGCAGUGAAAUGCGUAGAUAUGCGGAGGAACACCGAUGGCGAAGGCAAUCCCCUGGGCCUGCACUGACGCUCAUGCACGAAAGCGUGGGGAGCAAAACAGGAUUAGAUACCCCUGGUAGUCCACGCCCUAAACGAUGUCAACUGGUUGUUGGGAAGGUUCCUUCUCAGUAACGUAGCUAACGCGUGAAGUUGACCGCCUGGGGAGUACGGCCGCAAGGUUGAAACUCAAAUGAAUUGAC
rnacentral:rRNA from 1 species